GUGUAGGAGGGAUGGAGGAGGCUGUAGGCAACAUCUGGAGCCUGAGCUGAGGAGGAUGGAGGAACUCGUCCUGGAGCUGGAGGAGGAGGACUCCGGAGCAAAGACGAAAGCUUCAUUUGACCGUUUUUCCAAGUUCGUUUUCUCGCUGCUGGAUGAUCCACAUGAAAAAGACGCGUUUCUCCAGAAAACCUCAGAAUUCGACCUUAAGUUUGACUCGUCCCUGCAGAAUCUCGUAAGAAAUUUACUGCUGCAUUUGGAGAAUCUGCUCCCUGUGCCCAGUCUGGAGCACGUCACUUCGUCGAAGACUUUUUCUCCGGCGUCUCCGGUUCCACGGACGAACAAAGUGAAACUAAAACCACACAGCUCCAAAGCUCGGACGCACGGGGGGACGAAGCUCAGACGGAGGAGGGAGUCCCGUCUGUGGAAGUCACUCUGUCGUUUGACGAUGACGACGAUGAAGACGAGUAUACGAUGGACUAUAACCACGAGUAUCAGCGACCGUCUGUCUGCGCGAAGUCCUCCAGAUGCCCUGCCUGUGGUCUGACGUUUGAUAAUCCUUCUUUACUCAGCAAACACAGCGUCUCAGGAGAUUGUAUCGAAGAAAACGCGGUUUUUCAGGUCGAUUUGGAUUCGGACGCUUUGAGAUCAGAGCACGAGCCCCUGACCGUAGACGCUGAUGUCGUUCCAAAGCGCCGCGGUUACACUGACCACAUAGUUUGCCUGUUGUGUGGUCAGAUCUACACGUUAAAGACUUUACUGGAACAUCAGAAGGUCUGCGUGGUGAGAUACGAGCGGGAGAAACGGGCUGCGGCUGCGAUG
ensembl:lncRNA